GGCUCCGGCGCCGGCACCAUCCCAAGGUUCUACUCUCGGCCUGUAGACCACCGCUCUUUGCCUAGACAGCCUCUCCGGUCUCCGUCUAUCUUGCUGUUGUUCUUGCCCUCGCUUGAGUCUUGACUCUUCUAAUCGAUUUAGAAAAUACGGCCUAGGGUGAGCAUUUGGACCGGAUCGGUCGGUUUUUACCGUGUUUAGAACCGAUUGGACAUUGAAUCUGUGACGUUUUUUAAACACCCAUAGCUUAUUUGUUUUAAGUCGGAUUGACCUCUGGUUUUUUCCAACAUUUAGUUUAAAGUUUGUAGAUGAAUUUAUACUAUAAUUUUGUUUAUUUUGGUAUUGUAUUCACUGAGUUACAAUCCUUUAAAUUAGAUCUAUCAAAGCUGAAAAAAUUCAGCUUUUUAGCAAGAUUUUGUAAUAUAUGACGUUUUUUAAAACUCAUAACUCAUUCAUUUUAAGUCGGAUUGACCUCCGUUUUUUUCCAAAAUUUAGUUUAUAGUUUGUAAAUUAAUUUAGACUAUAAUUUUUAUUUUUUUUUUAUUUUGGUAUUAUAUUCAUUGAGUUACAAUCCUUUAAAGUAGAGUUAUCAAAGCUGAAAAAAUUCAGUUUUUAAGUGAAAGAUUAGAUUAUGAGUUUAUGAACUUUGUUAGUUUGAUUGAUUUUAAAAUUUAAACUAUGAUUUUUGUUGUUACGGUAAUACUUUUAUAUCUUUGUCUUAAAAUUGUAUAAUUUUUGUUGGUGAACUUGAUUUAUAUGUUAGUUGUUUUUAUUUGGAAAAUUAAUUUUUGCAAGUUAUAAUCUUAUACAUCAAUGUAUAUUAGUUAUGUAUGAAACGGAAACGUAUUAAUUUUGCAAGUUAUAAUAUUAUACAUCAAUGUAGAUUACUUAUACUCUAUGCAAUUAAAGUUAUACCGGUCCAAACGGGUUCAAAAACCGAAAAACCCGGACCUGGACCCGGACACGGACACGACUCAUAUGGUUCGGUCCAUGGUCCACAAAAUUCUCCAUAACUGGUCCGGUCCAAAAGCCGGUCCGGUCCGGUCCAAAUGCUCAUCCCUAUUACAGCGUACCUUUUGCUUUACUUUGCUUGUGAAAUUUUCAAUCGAUAGUUACUAGUUUUCUGUCACUUUAUUGUACAUUUGCUAUUUAAUUUUUUUCGAUUUGUU